AUACAGGUGACCGUAUCCUGAGCCCCGGGCAGAGGCAGGACCGAGCCGCAAUCUGAACAGAAAUCCAGGUCCGACUGAAAGCUGGAGCAAGUAUUGGCGAGGUCCAUGACAGACAUGCGGUCGGGUCUGAGGAGGGAGUUGGAAGUUUAUUAACAAAAGAGAGAAGAGUUCCUGUCCCAGAGGUCGUAACUAUUCUGUCCCAGGACCUAGGAGUAUAUAACCCGAACCCUCCUGCCACGCACGCCUCCUGCCUCUGCGACCAAGGAGCCGAAACGCCCGGAAUUCCCAGACAGCGUCGGGUACUAAAGGACUUGGAACCCUUUCCAGGGGCCGGUGAGAGGAGUUAACCAACUCCGUGGGCUAGAGCGCCAGCUCUGCGCCCGCGGCGGGGCAGCGAGAUAGAGCCGGCUAGAGCGUCAGGCUUUCGCGUUGACGAUUGGCUGUGACGUCAUAAUUAAUUGCGAACCGUGUCUCGGGAGCGUUAGAGAUGGAGACUAACGUCUUCCAAGGGAGAUUGCGUCUCCACUUUCACCCUGGUACUGAGAGGUUGAGCACAAAAUUGGUAACCAAUGCUGCGCUUCCAGCAAAUUUUCCCACCAGCACCCAAUCCUGGGAUAUUUAUUCUCUUUGUCUCACAUCCUACAGGAACGCAGUCGCGGGGUAUAUCCCCCUGAAAACCGUACGUUGCCAAAUAAUGAUUUCUUUGGAUUAGAGAACUACAACUCCCCUGGGUCCUGAGCCGGUAUUUCCCUUUUGCGGCUGCACCGUAGUUAAAAACAAAGCUAAGUGUUCUGGGACGUAUAGUUCUAGCGUUCCUUGGGUCCCGCUGGCGAGCGUGGGCUUUCUGCAGCUCGCAACCGGCCUCGUGCUUUGCGGACGGUUCACUGCGCUUGGAAAGGGAUUGGCCUGGGGUACAUCAUCUAAAGAUCCUAGGAUUGCUGCAGGUCAGCAGUCUCCACUGGAAAAAAAGAUCUUGCAUGUAUUUCAAGUCCUCUGAUGAAUCAUGUGAUCUACUAGACCCUGAAGAUACAGUGAAGAGCAAAAGAACACAGAUGAAAUGAGAAACAAAAACGAUGGAGAAAACCAAAAAAGGGGACACAUGGGAUCCAGGCAAUAGGAGAGCCAGCAUAAGAGAGAGCCAGAGGGAUGCCCAGGAUGAGGUGAAGACGAUCUUGGAAAUCAGCCCAGAUGUGCAUGCACCAGUCCACGUGUGGCAGGACCAAGGGAAGUGUCUUCACAAAGAUGAGGCUUUGAUUUGUUGGAGAAACUGUUACCAGAAAAACAGGUCCCGAUCCCGACCCCAAAAGAGUAUUCUUGGAUCUUGCACAGGAAGGAAUUAAAGGUCUAGCUCUGUCUCCUCAGCACAUGUUCUAGGCUCUGACUGCAAGUGCUGACUUGGGCUCCCAGCCCCACACAGACCCUCUGUUCCAUGAAAGGGCCAUCUAUGCAAAGUGCCCCCCAAAUGCCAAAGGAGCCAAUAAACCAAGGAACAAGACA
rnacentral:lncRNA from 1 species